UGGCCGCACAGGUGUCUUUUAAAGCAUUUCAUUAAUUACAAAUAGGAAAGCCGCGUGCAAUCCUCGUCGAGAGCCCCAGUGUGUCUCCGCUUGGGCAAACCGGCAAUUCGCAGGACACCUGGCCGAAACAUCACGGAUUUUCUGCUGACGACCUCGACGGUCCCCCGAAACCUGCUCGUUUCCUGGUAGACUUGAUCGAAAGGUUGCAAUAAAACAACUACUGCCAGAAAGGGGGAGCGCGCGUUUAACUGCUGACGAACCAGCAGAAUUACCUUGGUACGUUAUUACCAAAAAAAAAAAAAAAAAAAAAAAGGAAAAAUAGAGAGGAGAGAAAAGGAGAAGGAGAUACAAAUUGGCAAAGCAUGAUUCGAAUCGAAUUAAGCGAAGAGAAUUCCUGCUGGAACGAAUUGGAAUUAUUUCGAGGAAGAGGAAUCUUGUUGUUGGUUUCUUUGUGAGAAUUUUGGCAGUCAGGUAACAAUUUACGCAAGGGCAUCUAUACAAAUAUAACGGUACACUCGAGAAUCUCCAGGUGCUGCGGCAGCCUAACACCUGGUCGAAUAUUCGAAUUUUCUCAGGGACCCCUACCUCACCGAAAGUCCAAGGUUUCCAGGACCCCACUGAGUGCAGAUGUAGAUCAAAAAUGUACCUUUAAAUCCGCGUAAGGACAACGAUGUUGCAAGAACAUCUGCAGCCAGAGCGUCUCGGACUUUGAACGUUUUGUCGAGUUAUAUAACAGAGCUGCAAACGCGUCUGACGACACUUUACCGCCACGUGUGUAGUAAAUUACGCUUGUGCACGUAAGUAUGUGACAUUAGGUUCGGUUUGGAGAACGCUAUAUAAACCUGAUCGUCUUAUUGAUCGGUGUCUGGACGAACGAAGCAUCGCUUGUCACGUGUCGUGCCAAUGCGUCUUUCUUUCACCGGAACGUAUUAACGCAGCUGUGCCUCGGAGUAGAGAAAGCUGAACGAGCCAACUCGCACGGAAAUCUCCCGAGAGCCUAUUCGAAAACAAUUUAGAUUACUUGCUUUCAUAUUGACUGUUCCCUGCAUGUUUAAGAAAAGUAAUUCUGCCGUAACUCUGAAAUUUCAGUCGUAUAAUUACCAUGUACUUUUAAAUGGCAGAAAAUUAAUUAAGGUCAGACACUUUAUUAAUCACAUCCGGUAAACUGUUAUUUUCGUUGCGUUAAAUAUUUUUAAUUCUUAAACUCUGAUUUUUCAAUUCUUUUUACCUUUAAAAUUUUCCAAGCUCGUUUGAUCGUCUUCUAGUUACUUUAUCACAAGCACGAUCAACUCCAGUGUCAUUUGGAAAAUCGUAAACUUCAUAUUUUCAUUUUCACUGUCACUUGUUGUCACUUAUCACUGACCAUAUUUAAACGGCUUAAGAAAUUAAUUCACGUAACAAAACACUGAACACUUUUACAACUGUUACAACUUGCAACUGAGAUAUAAUUGCUCUUGAUUGAUAAUAUAAAAUACGAGAUAUCUCGUCAGCGAUAUUUUACCGCCCCUAGCGGAAAGAUACGAAAGACGAGAUAUUUCGUCAUCCGUCUGCAACGUGUUAAGGAUUUGACAAAAGAAUUUUUGAUUCUACGAAUCGAUUUUGCGCCUUGUAACUACGUAAUUAAUUACAUUUAUCUUUCUCAUUAA